AAAAAAAGGCUGUUACAAGGCUUUCAUUCUUUUAUUCCACUUUGUUAUUCAUGUCCGUUAAGUUAUUGAAAGCCAACUUAUUUCCUCCUGCCCAAAUGUUCUCCAAGCUCUUUCCCUCAUGUUUGAGCUCUAAAAACCAGCAAAUUAAGGCUAGAAAAUGGAUAAAUGAGGUGAGGACAAGAUCUUUUAGUGCAUGAGCUCUAGUUUGAUCGAUUGAAAAUUCUGCUUUGGUUUUGUUGCAACAAGUUGUUUUCCUUGGUUGGAGAAAUUUUAGAAGUCUUGUUGAGCUGAAUUUAAGUCACCAAUUCUUAAGGAUUCUCAAUCAAGGAUUUAGUCUGAAUUCAAGCUAAGUAAGCUUUCUAAGGGCUAUAAAGCUGCAAAUGAGAUCAAUAAGAUUUGCCAAGCUGCAUUAUUGAAGGGAAACCAUCAAGCAAAAGAAAGAUAAGUUGAAAAAAGAUUUCAUUUAAAGCACCAAGUCCUACAGCUAGAGGUUUGAUCAGCUGUGCUGCCAAGCUAUGAUUUAAGCUAGCAAAAGAUCCGAUGCUACUCAAGACAUAGACGUGCAAGGGAUCCACGUAUAUAUUAUGGUAAACUCAAUGACCAAGGCAUUCAUAAAUACCUUCCGCAUCUAAGGUUCACUCCACUAGUAGUCAGUUUUUAGUUAUGUUAUGUGAUUGGACAUGUAGCCUUGUAGAUACAAACGUAUGUGGGUUAUGGGACAUUAAUUGUCAUGACCCGGUACUCCCUUCGAGCCCGUGACAACCACCGUGAUGUCUCGAUAGACAUUCAUUUCCCGAAAUGUCAACCGAAACCUCGCAAAGCUCUUACAUCAAUUUUACGUCUCCCCUAUGAGCAACAGUUACUAAAUAUCAUGUUUUAAGAGAAUAUAAACUAUUUUUAAAUAAAAAACAAACAAAGGUA